rnacentral:rRNA from 1 species
AGUUAUGGCUCAGGAUGAACGCUAGCGACAGGCUUAACACAUGCAAGUCGAGGGCGAGCAUAAAAGUAGCAAUACUUGGUGGCGACCGGCGCACGGGUGAGUAACGCGUAUGCAACCUACCUAUCAGAGGGGAAUAACCCGGCGAAAGUCGGACUAAUACCGCAUAAAACAGGGGCACCGCAUGGUGAUAUUUGUUGAAGAAAUUCGCUGAUAGAUGGGCAUGCGUUCCAUUAGGUAGUUGGUGAGGUAACGGCUCACCAAGCCGACGAUGGAUAGGGGAACUGAGAGGUUGGUCCCCCACACUGGUACUGAGACACGGACCAGACUCCUACGGGAGGCAGCAGUGAGGAAUAUUGGUCAAUGGGCGGGAGCCUGAACCAGCCAAGUCGCCGUGAAGGAAGAAGGAUCUAUGGUUCGUAAACUUCUUUUGCAGGGGAAUAAAGUGCAGGGCGUGUCCUGUUUUGUAUGUACCCUGAGAAUAAGGAUCGGCUAACUCCGUGCCAGCCGCUGC